rnacentral:lncRNA from 1 species
GGAAAUUCUCUAAUAUAGUAAGAAAAUUGAGAGCGUCCAUCUGUACCGAACUUAGCCAAAGAGUUAGCAACCGAAUUUGCCUCUCUAUAGACAUGGGUGACAUUUAAAUCGAUGAGGUCUGCCAGAUCAACGAUGUCAUCCCAAAUUUGCUGAAGAGACCAAGGAAUAUUUCCCAUCCCAUUAAACCGGUGACAAACCAUUUGGGAAUCAGUUUCAACCCAUACCUUUGAAACCUCCAAAAGAUAGCAAUAAUACAAACCCAAUUUCAAAGCCAUUGUUUCCACCAUGGAGUUAGUAGCUACCCCAAGAGAGUGGGAAAAGCCAAAAACAAAUUUUCCUUUCCAAUCCCUAAGCACCCCACCACAGCCAGCUCUACCAGGAUUGUCACAGCUAGCACCAUAAAUGUUAAGUUUAAAAAUAUCACAACGAGGACGAUACCAACGAACAAGGAGAGGAGCCUUAGUUGUCAAACGAGUUGGAACCAUACCAAGACAAUGAAGAGUAGCAUGAAAAUUAGAGGGAGUAGCACGUGAUGGUCGUAGUAAUGAAUUUAAUUAAACCAACCAGUGUUUCACUUUGGAGCAAAUUUUAUGUCCAUUGACCAAACCUUCAUUAAAUCGAGCCUCACUGCGUGCAAGCCAUAUCUCCCAAGCAAUUGGCAUAGGGGUCAAAAGAUCAAGUUGAUGAAAUUGCGAAGAACCAUCAAAUUGGUGCAACCAAUUAAUAAGUACGGUACGCCAUGAACUAGCAAAAACAAUUCGAGCUCCAAAGAUGUUGGCAAAAUGAGUCCAAACAUGAGUCCCUGCUUCGCUAGUAUGAAAUAUGUGCUCAACAUCCUCCACUUUUGUAUGAGAACAACAAUAACAGUCUGAUACUAAUGGGACACCACGACUUCUAAUAAC